UAGCUACAUUCUUUUUUCUCCUUCGAUUCUUCUACUUUGUACUUUGGUCUUUGACAUCUCUGAAAUUAAGAGUUUUGCAAGGAUCUGAUUAUUUUAACCGGCUAACUAGAAAUAAUAGUUGGAUGAGAGUCAUGAGACUGGUUUUGAUGUAAGGUAACGCGAGAUAUUAGUGCGGUUCAAUCAAAUAGCCGAGCUCUUAGUUUAUAGAGAUCGGUUCUGUUCGAUUGAGCCGUGCCAAUAUCACGCAUUAAGCCGAGAUGACAAGGUGGCUAUUAUCCUUAAAAGGCUUCGAACGUAUAUGAAGGCAAUAAGGAACACAAAACCCAAAAUCCAAGUACAACUGCGAUGUACAGUUCUAUUUAUAGAAAGUAUUUAAGGAAUUAAGGGAAAGGAAAAAAGUAACAUGCUAACGAAUGUAAUAUGCGUCAUGAUUUACUCUCGUGACGAUAAUUGCAAUUAUCAGUACCAAUACAAAAACUUAAUUUGUAAUUAUCAGCAUUUUUGUCUAUAAUUAACU